AAAGCUGCCCUUUGUACAGGCUCUACACUUUCCACGAGGUGGGUACCAAUGCCUUCCUAUGAACUUCUACACAAAAGCCUUUCCCUGCUAGAGACAAUUUGUUUUUUUACACUGGUCUAUAGGAAGUGUCCAAUUAUACAGAUUAUGCAGAAUUCUCCUUUGUUUGGUUCCCUACAGGCAGAAGCACUCAUCUUGGUUAACUUAGUGUCACGUAUUUUUGUGAGCGUUAGAAACUCUGUAGAAGGCUGAAUGUAGCACUGUGGGAAAAACCUGACAGUCACUAUAAAAAUGCAAAGCACAACCAAGGGAGGGUGCUUUAAUUUCAGAUAGUCAGCCGUAAAAUUGCUUAGCAAAGAUAGUUGGAAAUUUGUUUGUGUUUCUUCCCAAUUGCAUGCAGAGGUGAAUGGCUGUGUACUGAUAAAGCCAUCUGUCUUCUGGGUGCCUGGAGGAAGCCUCUGCACCAAAGCAAUAUUGCCAAUUUUACAGUUAAUAUCCUGGUGCACAAUACUCUUGAGCUGAGAGUUGGACCACAGUCAUUUCCGCCGCCUUAGGGCAUACCACAGAACAGCAUGCUCAGUUGUAAUGAGUCUUGCUCACAAGCACAGGCUGCCAGAUUGGGAAGGGGGAUGAAUAUCCCUGCAGGGCAUGACGGCAACGUAAGCACACCAUUCUAUGCACUGAGAUAAUAUCCUGGUCCACGGACUCAGAUUUGAACCCAGAGAAGAGAAGGAAUAGCAUCUGUAGGUAGAAUGCUUUAUUUAGACAGAUUUUUCAGAUGACUUACUUAUCCUGGUGUGUUGCUUUUGGCUGGGGUAGAGUUAGUUUUCUUUAUUGUAGCUGUUAUGGGGAUGUGGUUUGGAUUUGUACUGGAAACAGUGUUAGUAACACAGGGAUGUUUUCAUUAUUGCUGAGCAGUUUACACACAGUCAAGGCCUUUUCUGCUCUCACCCCACAAGUGAGUAGGCUGGAGGUGCACAAGGAGUUGGGAGGGGACACAGCCGGGACAGCUGACCCCAACUAAGCCAAGGGUUAUUCCAGACCAUGUGGCAUCAUGUUCAGCAAUAAAAUCUGGGGGAAGAAGAAAGAAGGGAAAUCGUUUGGAGUUACAGCAUUUGUCUUCCCAAGUAACUUGUCAUGCAUGAAGGAGCUCUGCUUUCCUGGAGAUGGCUGAACAGCUGCCUGCUGACAGGAAGCAGUGAAUGAAUUCCUUAUUUUGCUUUGCUUGUGUGGGCAGCUUUUGCUUUACCCAUUAAGCUGUAUUUAGCUCAACCCAAAAGUCAGCUUAGGGGCUCAAGUGGCAAAGUUUGGUCUAGUGUGAGUUUCUAACCAACAGUUUACAUUUUCUGUAGUAUUACAGGGCUCUUUUCAGACUUCUCUGGUUGACUUCAAACAAAAUACCAUGCAAAAGACUAUUGUAUUAAGCAUCUAUGAUUUCUGGGUACUGGUAGUUCCUAUGAUUUCGAUCAGCCUUGGACAACUGGAGCUGCAUCAAGCUUUGGGGCCAGUCUGUGACACAGCCAUGGCUAAAGGGAACAGCGAGUGUGAUGAACCAGUGCAAUGAACUGGGAAUCCCACUGGUGGUUCUGUCUCAUGUAAGGAUCCUCCUGAGAACCUGUUCCUGUCUCCCUCUGGACUGUGACAGCUCUGGGCAGAAAGUAACUGGGACUUGUUGUUGCCAUUUCUAGCUCCAACAGAAAAUGCUAUCACUGCGUGCAUGAUACCGACUGCAAGCUGGCACUCCAUUAGCAGCAGAAAUUGGGAGAUUAAACUGAAAUUUGCUUAA